AUCAAUUACAAAAGUAUCUAUUUAGCAUUCAAAACCCUUCAUAACCAUCUGCCCCUUCUACCUUUCAGGUCUUCAUUUAUCUUACUUCUUGCUACAUAAUUUUUGAUCCACUUAUACUAUGGAUAAUAUAUAUGUAUAAAUAUAUACAUAUAUAUAUAUAUAUGUAUAUAUAUGUAUCUUCCACUGAAAUGCUGUGAAAGACUCAGAAUUCUUGAGUUUGUGGAAACAGACUUCAAAGUACACUCAUAAAUGCCAGAGGAGAGAAGAGUUGGCCAUACAUAGGCACUGCAAUAAACACUUGCUACACAAAUAAAGGAAAACAGGAUGGUCCCUGGAAAGCAGAGGUGGAAAUUGGGGCUGGGAGAAGGAAAGAAGGAAAGUCUCCUCAAACAGUUCAAAGAUUCAACUUCAUCUUCUUUGGUGGGUUUAAUUCAUGGACUAGAACAGACUGCUUCUUGUAAAGGGAAGACAUACUGUGGAGAGACUGAAUGCAAACUGCCCCUUGCUAGGGGAGCUUUUUCCUGAGGAAGCAAGAAUAAUCAUCAUCAUAAUAUAAGCUUGAAAUUCAUGCUUUUCUCCUCUUCAGUCCAGAGUCUGAAAGUGCUUGCUGAUGUCUUCAGUACUACAGUGGCUUACUGAACAAAAGGAAGUCUGGGGACACGCCCUGGACAGAUUAAGUCCUGUCCUAACAAGAAGGAUAUAAGGAUUUUCUGAUGAGACUAGGAGUUUGCCUCAGAAUUGGCUUUCUGGUUAUUGGUACUUCAGAGCUGCUGUCUGGACUUCGGAUUGAUUCGCCUUUUCCAGCUCUCCAGUUUCUGAGGAUUUCCUGGUCUCCCGUAGCCUUCAAGGAUGCGGACCUAUCUUCUUAUGUUGAAUUCUUUCUCUGGAUGUAGAAAGCAUUCUUUCUCAUUAUCCCACUGGAUUGUCCUGGAUCAUUGCAUUGCUACUAGUAGAGAAGUUCAUUACAUUUCAAUGUGCCACAAUAUAUCAGUUUCUGUGUACAAUGUUCUCCUGGUUCUGGAGCAGUUAUUUGUUAACCAAGAGGCUGACAGAAGACAUGGAGAAAGAGCAAGAGAGCUUGAGUGGUAGAAGCAUGGGAUUGUGAGAUAGAGAACCUGAGUUUGAAAUACUGCCAUCUAUUCCUUCAGAAAUCUUUGCCAAAUCACUUCACAUCUAUAGACCCAUUUUCCUCAUCUGUAAAAUGAGAGUGUUGUAGAAGAUGGCAUCCAAAUUCUUUUCCAGCUCUACAUUUUAUGGCUAUGAAGAUGCCAAAAAAGGCAAAAUGAUCAAGAUGAGUUCGUCUUUAUUGAAUACAAUUUAUACCAGGGAUGAUUUCUGUUAGUUCAGCUAAUAUUUCAAACCUUCCUUAUAGUGUGAUGAUAUUUCUUCUGAAGUAGGUCUCCUGUGAAUAAUGUUGUUUAUAGGAAUUUCUUUGGUUCAUUUUAUUGAUUUCCAGUCUUGAAUUCUAAGAAAGAUUAAUUAAUUAGAACUCAGGGUUCUCUUUUGUGCCAUUGCAAAUUAACAGGGUCCUCUUGUUUUUCUUCCCACUCAUUUUCAUAAAUCUUAGGAUCUAGUUAAGAAUCACAGUUAAGCUCUUCCUUAGAGAGAGGAGAUGAGACUGAACUUUCUAAGCCUAUUCGUUUUCUCUUCUGUUUUAUUAAAGACUGGGAGUGAGAACAAUGACUCCUGAAGAAUGGAUUUUUUUUUAUAAUGUAAAAGCCUUGUUAUGACAGUAUUUAUUCAAGGAGCACAAAUAUUGAUAUGAUUAGAUGCCUUAUUGUACUCUAAUAAAAUAAAUACAAAAUAAAAUGCACUGGUCACUGGAACACAAAUAAUUCAAAGCUCAUUCCCUCCUCCCCUAGUCCCCUAUGUUUCAAAAGAACAAGAUUAUACAUUGAUAUAAAUUAUGGAAUAGUUAUUCUAAUCAAGUUAUUCAGUAUGGUGACCCUUCUGGUUCAUAUUUCAACUUCUAUUUUGUUAAAUAUUUAUUAGCAUUUGGGCCCAAGCUAUUAUUUCUUUUAUUCUGUCAUUCAACAGCCAUGCAGUCUAUGAUUUAUCUGCAGAGUAUUGUGCUAGAGGAUAAGGGACGUUCAUAGUUUCAAUCAGGCAAUUUGUUGGUGUUGAUCAGUAUUUUUACCUAACUUGUUUUGGACUCACAGGUUCUUGGUUAAACUAGCAUCUGUAAUUCUUACUAGUGCUGUGAACUCAGGUAAGUCAUUAAGCUCCCUUGGGCCUCAGUUUUCAUUCCUGUAAAUUGAACAGUGGACUAGAUGACCUCUAAGAUUCCUUCUGCCUCUUAAGAAACUUAAUACAAGCAUUUAAAAACAAAAGUAAUUAUUUCCAAAAUUCAUCAAAAUUUCUAAAUAUUUAACUGACUAAAUAAUUUUUUAAUUUCUUACUGUAGUUUUUUUAAAAAUCCUAACAAAGUGCUAAAAAUUAACAUCUAAUAUAAAUUUGCCUGACCAUAACUCCAUCUUGAAAUUGCUCAUUGAUAAAUCACCUGCUGCCUCAAAGGAGUUAGAAUUUCUGUUGUUGCCUGAUCAGAAGGGCCCUUCUCUGUUUUGUCCCUUCACUCAGGGGAGCAAUGAUUUCUUGGAAGUUCUUCCCUCUCCUUCUGGCCUGUAAAGUCCUUGAAAUUUGCUGUGAAUGCUCUUGUAAAUCCCAGGGUGCCUAUGUAAGGCUGACUAGGUUUUCUGAGAUACUCACAUACACCCAUACCUAUGCAUAUGCCGACAAACACACACACACACACACACACACACACAC